rnacentral:rRNA from 1 species
GCUUAACACAUGCAAGUCGAGGGGUAGCAGGGUAGCAAUACCGCUGACGACCGGCGCACGGGUGAGUAACACGUAUCCAACCUUCCCAUUACUCGGGGAUAGCCUUUCGAAAGAAAGAUUAAUACCCGAUAGUACUUUUUUGAGGCAUCUCAAAACAGUUAAAGAUUUAUUGGUAAUGGAUGGGGAUGCGUUCCAUUAGAUUGUUGGUGAGGUAACGGCUCACCAAGUCUUCGAUGGAUAGGGGUUCUGAGAGGAAGGUCCCCC